GACGAACGCUGGCGGCGUGCUUAACACAUGCAAGUCGAACGGAAAGGCCCCUUUCGGGGGGUACUCGCGUGGCGAACGGGUGAGUAACACGUGAGUAACCUGCCCUUUACUUUGGGAUAACACCAGGAAAAUGGGGCUAUUACCGGAUAGGAGCUCCUGCUCCGUGGUGGGGGUUGGGAAGUUUCGGGGGGUGGGGGUGGACUCGCGGGUCAUCAGCUUGUUGGUGGGGUAGUGGCUUACCCAGGGUUUGUCGGGUAGCCGGGCUGUGAGGGGGACCGGCCACAUUGGGGAUGAGAUUAGGGCCAGAAGCCGACGGGGGGGAGGAGGGGGGAAUAAUGCACAAUGGGGGGGAGCCUGAAGCAGCAAAGGCGGGGGCGGGAUGACGGGCUUCGGGUUGGAAACCGCUUUCGCUCAGGAAGAAGCUGGGUGUGACGGUAGUGGGUAAAGAAGCACCGGCUAACUACGUG
rnacentral:rRNA from 1 species